UCAAACUGGAUCAAGAAAUUUGGAAAAGGAACUAAGCUCAUAGUAACUCCAUCCGAUGCACGCCUUCCUGCAGACAUUUCCCCCAAGCCCACCAUUUUUCUUCCAUCAAUUGCUGAAAUAAACUACCAUAAGGCUGGAACAUAUCUUUGUCUUCUUGAGAAAUUCUUCCCUGAUGUUAUCAAGGUGUAUUGGAAAGAAAAGAACAGGGAUACAAUCCUGCAAUCCCAGCAGGGAAAUACCAUGAAGACUGAUAACACUUACAUGAAAUUCAGCUGGCUGACCGUGACUGGAAAGUCAAUGGAUAAAGAACACGAAUUCAUUGUCCAACACGAGAAUAACAAAGGAGGGGUUGACCAAGAGAUUCUUUUUCCUUCAGUCAACAAAGUUGUCACCUCAAUGGCCACUACUACUGGUCCUACAAAGGCUUCUCCGACAGAGGAGAGCAUUGCCACUACUCCUGAUUCUACAAUAGUUUCCCCAACAGAGGAAAGUGAGCUCCCUGCUCUUAAUUACACAAAACCUUGUCUGAAAGAUGAAAGCGCCCCCCUGCAGCUGCAGCUCACCAACACCUCUGCCUAUUACACCUACCUCGUGUUCCUUCUCGUGAGCGCGGUCUACCUUGCCACCGUCGCCUUGUGUGUGUUAAGGAGAACAGCAGUCUGGGGCAAUGGAAAGAGUUCGUAACAGAUGGUGACCCAAGAAAUCAACUUUCCUCCAUUGUUUAUAUUCCCUAAAACUUUCUGCCGAGGAUCUAGUCGGACUUUCUCUCUGGGUUUGGGUUAUUUCAGCUCACAUGUGUACUUUUCUGUUAUGUCAUUAUUGUGUAAUGGUUUUUCAAAUCACUGGACAAACAGAAAAUCCUACUCUGUAACGAUGCUGAAUACUGCCACUACUCAGGGGCAGGGCCAAGUGGUAGUCCUUUAGCACCACUCUCUCCAUGAUCCCCAUCAGCUCCUCCAACAACCCGAAUAACCAUGCCUUCUGAGUACAGACAACAUGUGGCUCUAGUCACCUCGCUUAGGACCUUUUAACCAGAACCGCCUUGAAGCCC